rnacentral:misc_RNA from 1 species
UCUCCGUAGGUGAACCUGCGGAGGGAUCAUUACAGAGUUCCCGCCCUUCCGGGCAGACCUCAAACCUACCGAGAUUGAUACUGUGUUGCUUUGGUGGGCCGCCGGCUCCUCCCCGUCCGCACCCUCCGGCUGGCCAACGCACGCCAGAAGCUCCGUAAACUCUGAAUGUCAUCGUUGCUUGAGUACUAAAAACUAGCAAAAACUUUUAACAACGGUCUUCUUGGUUCUAGCAACGAAGAAGAACGCAGCAGCACGGUAGUGCACUCGUCUGACCUCCAG